rnacentral:rRNA from 1 species
CCGUUGCCGGCGACCGGCGCACGGGUGAGUAACACGUAUGCAACCUGCCCGUGGCAGGGGGAUAAGCGGGGGAAACCCCGUCUAAUACCGCGUAACGCGGCCUAGGGACAUCCCAAGGCCGCCAAAGGGAGCAAUCCCGGCCACGGAUGGGCAUGCGGCGCAUUAGCUAGUCGGCGGGGUAACGGCCCACCGAGGCGACGAUGCGUAGGGGUUCUGAGAGGAAGGCCCCCCACACUGGUACUGAGACACGGACCAGACUCCUACGGAAGGCAGCAG